GUGAGGAAUAUUGGUCAAUGGGCGAGAGCCUGAACCAGCCAAGUCGCGUGAAGGAAGAAGGAUCUAUGGUUCGUAAACUUCUUUUGCAGGGGAAUAAAGUGCGGGACGUGUCCUGUUUUGUAUGUACCCUGAGAAUAAGGAUCGGCUAACUCCGUGCCAGCAGCCGCGGUAAUACGGAGGAUCCGAGCGUUAUCCGGAUUUAUUGGGUUUAAAGGGUGCGUAGGUGGUUUGAUAAGUCAGCGGUGAAAGUUUGCAGCUUAACUGUAAAAAUGCCGUUGAAACUGUCGGACUUGAGUGUAAAUGAGGUAGGCGGAAUGCGUGGUGUAGCGGUGAAAUGCAUAGAUAUCACGCAGAACUCCGAUUGCGAAGGCAGCUUACUAAGCUACAACUGACACUGAAGCACGAAAGCGUGGGGAUCAAACAGGAUUAGAAACCCCGGUGGUCC
rnacentral:rRNA from 1 species